rnacentral:rRNA from 1 species
AGUGAACGCUGGCGGUAGGCCUAACACAUGCAAGUCGAACGGCAGCACAGUAAGAGCUUGCUCUUACGGGUGGCGAGUGGCGGACGGGUGAGGAAUACAUCGGAAUCUACUUUUUCGUGGGGGAUAACGUAGGGAAACUUACGCUAAUACCGCAUACGACCUACGGGUGAAAGCAGGGGAUCUUCGGACCUUGCGCGAUUGAAUGAGCCGAUGUCGGAUUAGCUAGUUGGCGGGGUAAAGGCCCACCAAGGCGACGAUCCGUAGCUGGUCUGAGAGGAUGAUCAGCCACACUGGAACUGAGACACGGUCCAGACUCCUACGGGAGGCAGCAGUGGGGAAUAUUGGACAAUGGGCGCAAGCCUGAUCCAGCCAUACCGCGUCGGUGAAGAAGGCCUUCGGGUUGUAAAGACCUUUUGUUGGGAAAGAAAAGCAGCAGCUUAAUACCCCGCUGUUCUGACGGUACCCAAAGAAUAAGCACCGGCUAACUUCGUG